rnacentral:rRNA from 1 species
UCGGGGCUUCGGGGUUCACUCCCAACCCCUGUGACAUACCUAUACGUUGCCUCGGCGGAUCAGCCCGCGCCCCGUAAAACGGGACGGCCCGCCCGAGGACCCCUAAACUCUGUUUUUAGUGGAACUUCUGAGUAAAACAAACAAAUAAAUCAAAACUUUCAACAACGGAUCUCUUGGUUCUGGCAUCGAUGAAGAACGCAGCAAAAUGCGAUAAGUAAUGUGAAUUGCAGAAUUCAGUGAAUCAUCGAAUCUUUGAACGCACAUUGCGCCCGCCAGUAUUCUGGCGGGCAUGCCUGUUCGAGCGUCAUUUCAACCCUCAAGCUCAGCUUGGUGUUGGGACUCGCGGUAACCCGCGUUCCCCAAAUCGAUUGGCGGUCACGUCGAGCUUCCAUAGCGUAGUAAUCAUACACCUCGUUACUGGUAAUCGUCGCGGCCACGCCGUAAAACCCCAACUUCUGAAUGUUGACCUCGGAUCAGGUAGGAAUACCCGCUGAACUUAAGCAUAUCAAUACCCCGGAGGAA